AACUAGCAACAAACAUACCUUUGGUACCUUAGUAUUUGUCUUUUUUCCCCAACUCUUGUCUUCUUAAUGGCUUUUUCAGCAACAACACCCUCCUUCCUUUUGCAUGGUGGUCUCCCUUUUUGACAGAGAACCAACGGGUCAAUUAUAUUUGUGCUCUCUUUUGAAAAGAAAAUCCAUCUCCACGUGAAGAAGAAUCAUUAGAAGUACUGGAAACGUUAUUGCUCCCACAAACAACUUCAGGUUCCAUGAACGCUUCUCUUAGUUCCCGUACCCAUGCCAUCACCUUAUCAUACCUAUCUUCGAACUCUUGUGCUAAAUCAGAAACCUCAAAAAAUGUGUUGCACAUUGUCACCACGCCCCGGUCAAACAAGACUCAAUCACCACGUAAAGCACACAAGUCAAAAUGGAAGAAAAGUCAACGGAAAUAAUACUACAACAUCCUUUCCAUAAUAUCAGAGUACAAUUUAAAUCCCUCCCAUAAUCCCUCCAUGGACCAUGUUCCCUGAGUUAUCAAAUACAAAACUACAUAUAUGUAGUAAACCUGGACUGCCACACCGGUCCAAAGAAUAUUACAAUUCCCCCAAAAAUAUAAUAUUCCAAGUUCAUUAAACCAAAAUAAGCAAUCGCAACCAUAUGCCUCAAGACUCGGGUAAAACCUUGGUACCUGAAAUUUAUUUUAUAGUACAGAUAGUUAUCUUGAAAGAUUUUAAUAAUGGGUUUGAUACCUCAGUCAAAAAUCAUAAUCAUAUGUUAUAUGAGGAAAACAUAAUGCAAUAAGUUAUGUUCUAUUCGUAUCAAAAUACCCUUUUUUUUUUUGUGUUCAUAAUUUUUCAAAAUCAAUAUUUUCAUAGAUUUUUUGACUUUCUCCCUCCAAAAAUAUUUAUUCAAUCCUUCCGAAUGACCCACCCUAGGCUUAGUAUUUAAACCAAACCGGCCUCAUUAUGCCCACGCAUAUAGACAAUAUCCGGCAACUUUUCGGUUACAUCGAGGGCUUUGGCUUCCCCCUCCGCGAGGAGUUUUCGGUCUCUCCUCAUCUCAUCCACUCUUCACCGUAACUAUUCUGAGCCAAACCAUCUAUUCCGGGUACACUAAUGUAUAAUCCGGUACUACCUAGCCGUGGUCAUUCCUAACAAUAAGUUCCAUCCUCAAUUUCAAUUUCAAUCUCCUUUCAAACUUCAUUUCACAACCAUUCUAUGAUCAUAGAGUUACGAUUACCAAUACUUUCAGACAAACCAACAUCAAUAUGCAAGAUAUCCCAAACAUUAAAUUAAGUUUAUUUUUGAAAAAAAAUAUUUUUAAUGUGCUACCAUCACUUAAUUCCAUAAGCAUUUAUUAGUAUAAUAAAACCAUAAAUCUAAUAUUACGCACAAUGUUUAAAUUAAAAUUUUUCAACUCUCUAACUCCUAAAUUUUCUCAUAAAAAAAUUAGAUUUUUCAAUGCUAUGGUUUAUUACGCAAUAAAUGUCCUUAAGAGCGAAGUCUAUCUAUAAGCUAUCACACAAUCCCAAUUAAACCCCAACAAACCACCCACCACCACCACCCCCCUUUACCUCAAAUCAAUGGAGAAAAUUUUCAAAAAAUAGUUUAUAAAAAGUAUACUGAAUUUCUCCACUUCGCCGAUUUUGCAUGUUUUGGCUCAAUGCGUAGCCCCGUUGAGUUAGGUUGAUAAAUUCUUCCAAAGAACUACUAUCUAAUUCUUCUCUGCUCGCUCUAACUCACUCGAAAAUAGUUCAAAGUGAAAAAACUCACUUUCCCUUUUAAAACAGGGCAAACUAAGACAAAGGAAAAAGAAAAACGUGAGAAUGGGAAAAGGAAGUCUUGGUCAAGAAGAAGGGAAAGAGAAAGGUAAAGUAAAAAAAAUUUUUAGACCAUUAGGUCGUUUGGUUCCAAUAAUUAUUAAGUCAAUUAAUGAACCAACUAAAUAACCCAUUCUUUCACAACCAUUGCAAACCAUCAGCCCAUUAGUCCUGCAUUUAAAAUGGGUUCACAUACUCAAUAGCUCCAAUAUAAUUACACUUAGGCCCAAUUCCACCAGGACCCAAUUCUAACCCAAACCCAUAACGGUGUUAAAAUGUUAUAUAUAUAUACACACCAAUAUACACGUGGCAGAUGACGUCAUACAUUGUCUUUUUUCUAACUUCAUAGAGAAAAAAUUGAAACCUACACAUCAUUUUGUCAUAGUGACGUGCUCCAGUGUAAUCAAGAUGAGUUGUCAUAUGGAUCCAAACUUUAGGAUGACUUCUUUUCAGCACAUUUUUACUCCUCUUUUCAAGAAUAUAUGAUUAACAACACAACACAAUAGGCAUAUAAUCGAUACAUUUUUCCUUUCCUCAUUUUUGUUUACUUGCAUAGGUAAAGUAUUCAAUUUAAUCUAUUUGUGUUUGCAAGGAUUGUUUUUGAGUUGUGUAGGAACUUUGACAUUAAAGACGUCCCUCUUGCAGUGUUGUGUCAUAUAAAGGAGGCUAAUGUUUUUAAGACAAAUGCCAAGAAGCCCCAGUGGC
rnacentral:lncRNA from 1 species